AUUCUGGCGACAUCUUGUGUUCAAAUGACGGUUAUGGUCUUGGCCUUUGGGGUAAAAAGUGGAAUUGUUUACUAAUUAUUUUAACAAAAUCAAGUUAUAAGACGGUGAGGAGCAGCAGCUGUCCAGUGCAAUGCCACCAGUGAAGACCCCAGGACCAAAACACAGCAGGGCUGGUUACGGGAGCUGACAGGAGGGUGUCCAUGUGUCUCUGAUACAGGUUGCAAUGUGAGGCAGAGAAAGAAGAAAAACUUCCUUGUGAAAGUAGGAAUGCAAAGUAUUCCCCACAAUGCCACACUGCUGCAAUUACUCCAGCGCCUGGUGCCGGGCCAAGACAAUGAGAUGACAGCUUGUGGUGUUGAGGGGGAGAACAGUUCAACUCCCAUCUCUCCUCUGUGCUCUGUGGACCCGGAGUAGACCUAUCCACACAGUAACUUUCUCAGUCUUCUACAUGCCAGCCUGCUGUGUCCAAAAUUAAUGUAAUUCCAUCUGGUAUUCACAUCAGUUUGUUGCAAAACAUCAUU